AACGAACGCUGGCGGCGCGCCUAAUACAUGCAAGUCGAGCGAGAAGACGUAGCAAUACGUUUGUAAAGCGGCGAACGGGUGAGGAAUACAUGGGUAACCUACCCUAGAGUGGGGAAUAACUAGCCGAAAGGUUAGCUAAUACCGCGUACGCUCCUUGGACUUCGGUUCAGGGAGGAAAGCGAUGCCGAGGGUAUCGCGCUCUUGGAUGGGCUCAUGUCCUAUCAGCUUGUUGGUGAGGUAACGGCUCACCAAGGCUUCGACGGGUAGCUGGUCUGAGAGGACGAUCAGCCACACUAGCACUGCGACACGGGCCAGACUCCUACGGGAGGCAGCAGUAAGGAAUAUUGCGCAAUGGGCGAAAGCCUGACGCAGCGACGCCGCGUGGGGGAUGAAGGUCUUCGGAUUGUAAACCCCUUUCGGGAGGGAAGA
rnacentral:rRNA from 1 species